rnacentral:pre_miRNA from 1 species
AUUUUUAGGGACAAACGUCAAUAUUUUAGACAAGUCUCCUAUUUUUUAGGGACUGGUGUCAUUUUUUGACGUGUCUCCUAUGAAUAUUAUUUGUCGACA